rnacentral:rRNA from 1 species
UACGGAGGAUGCGAGCGUUAUCCGGAUUUAUUGGGUUUAAAGGGUGCGUAGGCGGCCGAGUAAGUCAGCGGUGAAAUUUUGCAGCUUAACUGUAACAGUGCCGUUGAUACUGCAUGGCUAGGAUUUGGUUGCUGUGGGUGGAAUGUGUGGUGUAGCGGUGAAAUGCUUAGAUAUCACACAGAACACCGAUUGCGAAGGCAGCUUACUAAUCCAUCAUUGACGCUGAGGCACGAAAGCGUGGGGAUCAAACAGGA